AUACGGAGGAUCCGAGCGUUAUCCGGAUUUAUUGGGUUUAAAGGGAGCGUAGAUGGAUGUUUAAGUCAGUUGUGAAAGUUUGCGGCUCAACCGUAAAAUUGCAGUUGAUACUGGAUAUCUUGAGUGCAGUUGAGGCAGGCGGAAUUCGUGGGGUAGCGGUGAAAUGCUUAGAUAUCACGAAGAACUCCGAUUGCGAAGGCAGCCUGCUAAGCUGCAACUGACAUUGAGGCUCGAAAGUGUGGGUAUCAAACAGGAUUAGAUACCCUGGUAGUCCACACGGUAAACGAUGAAUACUCGCUGUUUGCGAUAUACUGCAAGCGGCCAAGCGAAAGCGUUAAGUAUUCCACCUGGGGAGUACGCCGGCAACGGUGAAACUCAAAUGAAUUGGCGGGG
rnacentral:rRNA from 1 species